rnacentral:piRNA from 1 species
UAUUUUUCAUCUUUCUGCUGC